rnacentral:rRNA from 1 species
UACGAAGGGUGCAAGCGUUACUCGGAAUUACUGGGCGUAAAGCGUGCGUAGGUGGUUCGCUAAGUCUGAUGUGAAAGCCCUGGGCUCAACCUGGGAACUGCAUUGGAUACUGGCGGGCUAGAGUGCGGUAGAGGGCAGUGGAAUUCCUGGUGUAGCAGUGAAAUGCGUAGAGAUCAGGAGGAACACCCGUGGCGAAGGCGACUGCCUGGACCAGUACUGACACUGAGGCACGAAAGCGUGGGGAGCAAACAGG